UGGGGAAUAUUGGACAAUGGGGGGAAACCUGAUCCAGCCAUGCCGCGUGUGUGAAGAAGGCCUUAUGGUUGUAAAGCACUUUAAGCGAGGAGGAGGGUACUGGUAUUAAUACUACCAGGUACUGGACGUUACUCGCAGAAUAAGCACCGGCUAACUCUGUGCCAGCAGCCGCGGUAAUACAGAGGGUGCGAGCGUUAAUCGGAUUUACUGGGCGUAAAGCGUGCGUAGGCGGCUAAUUGAGUCGGAUGUGAAAUCCCCGAGCUUAACUUGGGAAUUGCAUUCGAUACUGGUUAGCUAGAGUGUGAGAGAGGGUGGUAGAAUUCCAGGUUUAGCGGUGAAAUGCGUAGAGAUCUGGCGGAAUACCGAUGGCGAAGGCAGCCAUCUGGCCUAACACUGACGCUGAGGUACGAAAGCAUGGGGAGCAAACAGG
rnacentral:rRNA from 1 species